ACUCGCAGGCGUCGUGUGUGCGAAAAGAAGGAAAAACGAGCAUAAGGAUGGUAUUAUAAAUACGGGAUGAUACCGCGCGCUGGAAAGAGGGGUAAACGCGUCAAAAUAUUCAUAAAUUAAACAGACGGAGGAAGUACAUGGCGAAAACCGGAGGAUCGUUUCCGAGGAGAGAAGGUGGCGACGAUCGCGAGGAUGAUGAUGAUGACGAUGACGACGACGACGACGAUGAUGAUGGUAGCGGUGGUUGCGGUGGCGCGGCACCGUAGUGGAAAGUUUUUCAAGGAGACGACACGUGUAUAGUUGCGCGAUUGCUUCGCUACGACAAUAUCGGGGCGAUAAAGGCGAAGAAACUUUGCACCCCGCGGAUCGAUUCGUUGGUGGCAAAAGAAAAAAAAAAAAACCCAAAAUCGAAGGGAUGCCGGGAAUCCGGCGGCGAGUCCUGCACGGGUAACCCCGAACCCCGAGAGGUCCUGGAAACGGAGGAGAACGCGAGGCGAAUGUUGUCGAUUCGGCCAGCGCCAAACCGUGGCACGGCCUGUAUAACAGGGGAGUGGCAGGAUGUCCGUGGAAACGAGCGUUCGCAUGCAUCGCGAGUUAACAGAGCUCCGCAGCGGAGCAUAGCAAAGCGAAGUGGUUCGGUUGCUGACUUCAUUCUGCGGUAAAGAAUCGAGAAAAGUCCAGGCCGAGGUAGAGAGUCGAGGGUUUCGCGGGAGCACGAACGCGAAGAGGGGAAGACCGAGGAAGGGAUAAGGAAAAAAGAAAAAUAAAAAAGAGGAUAGGGGGAAGAAACGGCGAACAAAAAAAAAUUGAGGAAAAACGACGAGCGGAGGGAGGGGGGAGGCGGGAGG
rnacentral:misc_RNA from 1 species